rnacentral:rRNA from 1 species
GCCUCCCUCCCCGCGCCUCCGCCCGUCCCGCCCCCCAUGGCGGCCACCCCGCCGUCGUCGCGGGACCCGUCGCCGCAGCCCCGCCGGCCGGCCGCCGCCGCGGGCCGGCCCGCCGCCACCGGCACCAGCGGCAACGGUAAGCGCGGCGGGCUCCUGCUCGGCCGCUACGAGCUGGGCCGCGUCCUCGGCCACAGCACCUUCGCCAAGGUCUACCACGCGCGCCACGCCGACACGGGCGAGACGGUGGCCAUCAAGGUGCUGGACAAGGAGAAGGCGCUGCGUGCCGGGCUCGUCCCGCACAUCAAGCGCGAGAUCACCAUCCUCCGCCGCGUCCGCCACCCCAACAUCGUGCGCCUCUUCGAGGUCAUGGCCACCAAGUCCAAGAUCUACUUCGUGAUGGAGUUCGUCCGCGGCGGCGAGCUCUUCGCGCGCGUCGCCAAGGGCCGCCUCAAGGAGGACACGGCGCGCCGCUACUUCCAGCAGCUCAUCUCCGCCGUCGGCUUCUGCCACGCGCGCGGCGUCUUCCACCGCGACCUCAAGCCCGAGAACCUCCUCGUCGACGAGCGCGGGGACCUCAAGGUCUCCGACUUCGGCCUCUCCGCCGUCGCCGACCAGUUCCACCCCGACGGCCUCCUCCACACCUUCUGCGGCACCCCCUCCUACGUCGCGCCGGAGAUGCUCGCGCGCCGCGGAUACGACGGCGCCAAGGCCGACAUAUGGUCCUGCGGCGUCAUCCUCUUCGUCCUCAUGGCCGGCUACCUCCCUUUCCAUGACCAGAACCUCAUGGCCAUGUACCGCAAGAUUUACAGAGGGGAAUUCCGGUGUCCGAGAUGGUUCUCCAGAGAUCUCACCAGCCUAUUGAAUCGGCUUCUCGACACCAACCCGGAGACAAGGAUCACCAUGGCCGAAGUCAUGCAGAGCAGGUGGUUUCAGAAGGGAUUUCGGCCCGUCAGGUUCUAUGUUGAAGACGAUCAGCUGCACAGCUUAGGGGACAGUGAGAGUGAGGAGCUGGGGCUAGUCGAACCUACCGAGCCGCCGCCUCCUCCUCCUCUUCCGCCGCCGCUGCCACCACCACCGCAGCAAGAGGAUGAUGACUCAGGGUGGGAGUCGGAUUCCUCCGUCGCAUCCUGCCCUGCCACGCUGUCGUCCGAGGAGCGGCAGCGGCCUGCCGGGCGUCUCACACGGCCAGCAAGCCUCAACGCUUUUGAUAUCAUAUCCUUCUCCAAGGGAUUUGAUCUAUCAGGGCUGUUCGAGGAGCGAGGGAGCGAAGUGAGAUUCAUCUCAGCACAGCCCAUGGAAACCAUCGUUACAAAAUUGGAGGAGAUUGCCAAGAUGAAGAGCUUCUCCAUUCGGCGCAAGGACUGGCGUGUAAGCAUAGAAGGCACCAGGGAAGGGGAGAAGGGGCCAUUGACAAUUGGGGCUGAGAUAUUUGAGCUUACACCAAGCCUCUUGGUGUUGGAGGUGAAGAAGAAGGCAGGGGAUAAGGCAGAGUAUGAUGACUUCUGCAACAAAGAGUUGAAACCUGGGAUGGAGCCUCUCGUGCACCACCAGCCGGGCUCGGCUCGAAAUGUACCUUCUGAUACUGAGUAG